rnacentral:rRNA from 1 species
AUUGAACGCUGGCGGCAGGCCUAACACGUGCAAGUCGAGCGGAUGAAGGGAGCUUGCUCCUGGAUUCAGCGGCGGACGGGUGAGUAAUGCCUAGGAAUCUGCCUGGUAGUGGGGGAUAACGUCCGGAAACGGGCGCUAAUACCGCAUACGUCCUGAGGGAGAAAGUGGGGGAUCUUCGGACCUCACGCUAUCAGAUGAGCCUAGGUCGGAUUAGCUAGUUGGUGGGGUAAAGGCUUACCAAGGCGACGAUCCGUAACUGGUCUGAGAGGAUGAUCAGUCACACUGGAACUGAGACACGGUCCAGACUCCUACGGGAGGCAGCAGUGGGGAAUAUUGGACAAUGGGCGAAAGCCUGAUCCAGCCAUGCCGCGUGUGUGAAGAAGGUCUUCGGAUUGUAAAGCACUUUAAGUUGGGAGGAAGGGCAGUAAGUUAAUACCUUGCUGUUUUGACGUUACCAACAGAAUAAGCACCGGCUAACUUCGUG